CUUCCCAAUGCACAAUGUCAUUUACCAGUGUCCUCGACAAUGGACAGUGGAUGCCGACCCCGUCCACAACUUAGCACUUCGCACAGAUGAGCUCAGAAAUCCAGCAACGCGACUGUUCCUGAAGCACCUUCUACGGAGUCAGUGAGCUUAUUAACCCGCAGGCACCUAGAGCGGACUCGGGUCCGAAGCGGGAGGCGGGGGCCACGGGAGUACGCGUACCACGGUCACUAGGGUGAGUACACACAUCACCCAAGACAGCCCUGGAACGAGAAGUCCCAAGAUUUCCACGUCACAGAGGAGGUUCCACCAGUCACAGACCAACGGCAACAACCUCGGGAAAGAAAACUAGUUCAUGUAUUUAGCAGGUAAAAAGAGAGAUGACGGGAAGACAGAACACGGAUGAAACCAGGGGCUACAGGCGAGGCCAACAGAGCCACAAAGAUUCACCGCCUUCGCAGCGUAGGCUCAAACCUGCUCAAACUCACUUCCCCACUGAGCCUAAGGGACUGCCAAGGAACCCACCACUCCCGAGGAGGUUCGGUGGAGAGAUUCACGGACUGCCUGAAGCCCGCGCACAACCUCUAACAGCCAGGUCUCCCCAGCCCUACCUCGAGGCCUAAGCAAGCCAACCCUUGGGGACACUGGCUUCUUUCUCGCGUUUGCAAGCGGGCUAAGGGGAGCACACGCUAUGUCUGCACUGCUUAUCAGUCACGACCUGCCCCCCUCACGUCCCAGCACCCAGAGGCGGCCACAGUGCAGCUCCGGAACAGGGACACCGGACUUUCCCCAGAGAAGAGAUGGUAUUCCGGUGCCACGAUUCUCUGGCUGUAGCGUUUUCCCCCCACUACUGCCCUCCCUACCUCAGCCUCACACCCCCAUUUCAAACACAAUUCCCUUAUAUUCCAAACUGAUCAGAGGGCUGGCUAGGUGUGCUCCGGGUCCCCUCCUGCGCCUCCACCCACAGACAGGCUCACAGAACCCCCGCCCCCCCCCCCCAACGAUAGCACGUGGCAGCCUCAUGUUCAAUCAAGCCACUCACACUAGAGAAAUACUGGCCAUCUCCCCUCCUGACAGGAGACACAAGGCUGCGUAGGGCCCCCGGAUUCCAGGUGGGGAGUCUCCACUUAGGGACACACUCACAGAGACACUCCGGCGGUUCACACUACCACCACAGAAAGGUGUGUGUGCUCCACCCAAACGUUCCUGCGGGCUGCCCACAGGCGGGGACCCCGCUCUGACAGCACAGCUGGCCGCGAGAGAGCUGGCAUGUCCUGACCCCUUCCCAAGAAGGCAGUCCUUAAUGUCACUCAAGGCUCUUUUAGUACAAGCCCGAAGGAACCAAACAAAUCAAUCUCGGAGGAAUGGGUAAAGGAUGAGAGCAAAAAAUAAAACCGUCAACGAUUUUCCAGAGAGCAAGAAGACACUUAA